CCCGGGGGGGGCCUAUACAUGCAAGUCGAACGAACUCUGGUAUUGAUUGGUGCUUGCAUCAUGAUUUACAUUUGAGUGAGUGGCGAACUGGUGAGUAACACGUGGGAAACCUGCCCAGAAGCGGGGGAUAACACCUGGAAACAGAUGCUAAUACCGCAUAACAACUUGGACCGCAUGGUCCGAGUUUGAAAGAUGGCUUCGGCUAUCACUUUUGGAUGGUCCCGCGGCGUAUUAGCUAGAUGGUGGGGUAACGGCUCACCAUGGCAAUGAUACGUAGCCGACCUGAGAGGGUAAUCGGCCACAUUGGGACUGAGACACGGCCCAAACUCCUACGGGAGGCAGCAGUAGGGAAUCUUCCACAAUGGACGAAAGUCUGAUGGAGCAACGCCGCGUGAGUGAAGAAGGGUUUCGGCUCGUAAAACUCUGUUGUUAAAGAAGAACAUAUCUGAGAGUAACUGUUCAGGUAUUGACGGUAUUUAACCAGAAAGCCACGGCUAACUACGUGCCAGCAGCCGCGGUAAUACGUAGGUGGCAAGCGUUGUCCGGAUUUAUUGGGCGUAAAGCGAGCGCAGGCGGUUUUUUAAGUCUGAUGUGAAAGCCUUCGGCUCAACCGAAGAAGUGCAUCGGAAACUGGGAAACUUGAGUGCAGAAGAGGACAGUGGAACUCCAUGUGUAGCGGUGAAAUGCGUAGAUAUAUGGAAGAACACCAGUGGCGAAGGCGGCUGUCUGGUCUGUAACUGACGCUGAGGCUCGAAAGUAUGGGUAGCAAACAGGAUUAGAUACCCUGGUAGUCCAUACCGUAAACGAUGAAUGCUAAGUGUUGGAGGGUUUCCGCCCUUCAGUGCUGCAGCUAACGCAUUAAGCAUUCCGCCUGGGGAGUACGGCCGCAAGGCUGAAACUCAAAGGAAUUGACGGGGGCCCGCACAAGCGGUGGAGCAUGUGGUUUAAUUCGAAGCUACGCGAAGAACCUUACCAGGUCUUGACAUACUAUGCAAAUCUAAGAGAUUAGACGUUCCCUUCGGGGACAUGGAUACAGGUGGUGCAUGGUUGUCGUCAGCUCGUGUCGUGAGAUGUUGGGUUAAGUCCCGCAACGAGCGCAACCCUUAUUAUCAGUUGCCAGCAUUAAGUUGGGCACUCUGGUGAGACUGCCGGUGACAAACCGGAGGAAGGUGGGGAUGACGUCAAAUCAUCAUGCCCCUUAUGACCUGGGCUACACACGUGCUACAAUGGAUGGUACAACGAGUUGCGAACUCGCGAGAGUAAGCUAAUCUCUUAAAGCCAUUCUCAGUUCGGAUUGUAGGCUGCAACUCGCCUACAUGAAGUCGGAAUCGCUAGUAAUCGCGGAUCAGCAUGCCGCGGUGAAUACGUUCCCGGGCCUUGUACACACCGCCCGUCACACCAUGAGAGUUUGUAACACCCAAAGUCGGUGGGGUAACCUUUUAGGAACCAGCCGCCUAAAGGGGGACCGU
rnacentral:rRNA from 1 species